rnacentral:rRNA from 1 species
AAUCAACGCUGGCGGCGUGCCUAACACAUGCAAGUCGAACGCGAAAGUGGAGCAAUCCAUGAGUAGAGUGGCGAACGGGUGAGUAACACGUGGGUGACCUGCCUUCGAGCGGGGGAUAACGUCCCGAAAGGGACGCUAAUACCGCAUGACAUCCUGUCUUUCAACAGACGGUGAUCAAAGCCGGGGAUCGCAAGGCCUGGCACUCGAAGAGGGGCCCGCGCCUGAGUAGCUAGUUGGUGAGGUAACGGCUCACCAAGGCGACGAUCAGUAUCCGGCCUGAGAGGGCGGACGGACACACUGGGACUGAGACACGGCCCAGACUCCUACGGGAGGCAGCAGUGGGGAAUUUUGGACAAUGGGCGCAAGCCUGAUCCAGCCAUGCCGCGUGCAGGAUGAAGGCCUUCGGGUUGUAAACUGCUUUUGUACGGAACGAAAAGACUCUGGUUAAUACCUGGGGUCCAUGACGGUACCGUAAGAAUAAGCACCGGCUAACUACGUGCCAGCAGCCGCCGUAAAAC